UACAGGGGGGGGCAAGCGUUGUUCGGAAUUACUGGCGUAAAGGGUUCGUAGGCGGCCAACUAAGUCAGACGUGAAAUCCCUCGGCUUAACCGGGGAACUGCAUCUGAUACUGGAUGGCUUGAGUUCGGGAGAGGGAUGCGGAAUUCCAGGUGUAGCGGUGAAAUGCGUAGAUAUCUGGAGGAACACCGGUGGCGAAGGCGGCUACCUGGACAGAAACUGACGCUGAGGCGCGAAAGCUAGGGGAGCAAACAGG
rnacentral:rRNA from 1 species